ensembl:lncRNA
GUUCACUGAAACCAUUUCAUGCUGACUGAUAACCCUUCUCUUUCUUCAGUAUCUAAUAUAUCAGGAUGGUUGUGUUCUGGACACAGAAAUAACUGGUAUAACUACUGAAAACCAGACUCCUUUAUGCCUACCUUUGUGCUUCCAUCCCAGUAGCCUUGGUCCACAAGAAAAAGAACUGCAUGAAUGGUGGUGAAAUCUUUGCUCCUUGUGUGGGAUAAUAAGAAUGUAAUGCUAAGAAGUGAUAAAUAUUUCAUCUCGCAGUGAACAAACAAAAACUCCAGGAAGGUCUCACAGUCAGCCUAGAUGUGUUUUCCAAUUCUGUAUUGAGACUGCCACUUCAGUCUUUGAAGAAGCUGACCUAUUCAACCUAGUUAGUGUAAUACUCUGAUUCAUUCGACUUACAGUAUUACAGGUCUGCUAUUACAGUGGAGGGAUUUUGUUUCCCUGACCCCUGCCUAGAAGUUCAGGAACAUGAGAGAUGUGUGAAGCCUGACUGCCAGCAAAGGCUAAGAACUGCGUCCAGUUCUGGAGCACCCAAUACAAGAAGGACAUGGAGUUGUUGGAGCAGGUCCAGAGAAGGACCAUGAAGAUAACCAGAGGGCUGGAGCACCUCCCUGUGAGGACAGGCUGACAGAGUUGGAGUUGUUCAUCCUGGAGAAGACCACUUGAAAUGGCCUUCCCGUACCUGAAGGGGAGCUGCAGGAAAGCUGGGAAGGGACUUUUUUAAGGGCAUGUAGUGUCAGGACAAGAAGAAAUGGUUUUAAACUGGAAGAGAGUAGAUUUAGACUAGAUAUUAGGAAGAAAUUCUUUACUUUGAGGGUGAUGAGACACUGGAACAGGUUGUCCAGUGAGGCUAUGGAUGCUUUGUCCCUGGAAGCAUUCAAGGCCAGGCUGGACUUGUCUUAGAGCAACCUGGUCUAAAGGGAGCUGUCCUUUCAACACAAACCAUUUUAUGAUUCUAUUAUGCUAUGAUUCUAUGAACUGAAAACAACUUUGAAACAUUUUAAGCAUUGUUAAUGCCUGUGGUUACGGCAGUUUCAGUAGUUUUUACUACCAAAAAUUUAUCCCUAAAUGGGCUGGAAGUAGCUGGUGCCCCAGAAAAGAUAAGUCGGAAGAAGAAGAAGAAAGUAUAUUUUAAUUUUAUGCUGGUCGUAGGUAGAGGGAUAGUUAAGAAUAAAUUGUAAAUAGUGUAAUAGUACCCUGUGAAUGCUGUAACCUAACCAAUAGAUAAGAUUUGCAGAAGCUCAUAGCCUUUCAAAUUAAAGACUUCAGCACUGCAUAAAACUGGAGCCUUAACCUCCAGUUUUUGUGACAUUUUUACAACUGUUUUGUUUGCAUGUCCUUAUUCCUUUAAUCUCCCAUUAUCUUCCUCCUACCCAAAGCAAACUUGUAGAAGACCAUCCUCCAUGUUUACAUACCAGUAGUAUCUGAUGCCCUGGAAGUUCUUGCUCCCCAGGAUUUGAAAAUAUAUAAUUUGAG